ensembl:ribozyme RNaseP_nuc Nuclear RNase P
UCAGAGGGAAGCUCACCAUUGAGGUCACAUACAGGGUGCUUGUCACUUAGUAUUUAAUACCUCUGGGAAGGUCUGAGAUAAGAGCCAUUAGCUGCCCUUACAGGGCAUCACCUGCUGCAGGGGAAUGAGUUAUCAGCUAUGUGGGGCCCUGGGUUGGGACAUGUGUGGCAGGAGAAGCCCGAGGGAUGCUCCCCUGGCAGAUGCCCAUUCUCCCAAGGGCUUUGGGACAGGCUCAUGGCUGGCACCACUGAGCUCGAUGGGAUGAGGUGAAGCCUCAAGGGCCUCAUAACCCAACUCAGACUACUCUCCCUCUGA